CGAGGGGCCGGGCAUGGAGCAGACGCGCGGAGCUCAGCGCCGGGGAGGCUGCAGCUGCUGAGUGCGCCCCGCUCUCGCCCGCCUGCUGCUUCUGGCCCGCCGCGGCGCACCAUGGACUGCCCGGCUCGCCUUGCCCUCCUCCUCCUCCUCCUCCUCUCGGCAGGAUUGAGUCUUCACUCUGCACAUUCAGACUUUACAUCCUCUCUCAGUCCUUCUGAGAGAAAUACUCUUACGUCAGAAUCAACUCAAACCGCUGUCCCCGUCACCCUUGCUGCUAGCACAACAGCAGACAAGCUACAAUCAGCAACAGCGACCACUUCAAGAGACAAAGUCACCUCAAGACCAGCAGAACAGGGCAACACCAUAAUCUCCUUAGGCACCACAAAAGAGUUGUCAACUGCCACGAAACAUCUUGCCUCAUAUACAGAAAGAGCAGAUGUUUCAGCCACCAGCCCAUCACCGUCAUCAACCACUGGGUCAGAAUCAACAGCCACAGAACACAUCUCCAGGACUUCAGUUGCCAUCCUGACAAAUACAACAGCUCCAGAUACAGCCACCCCUUCCACAACAGCUCCAGAUACAGCCACCCCAGCAACGACCUUCUCUCACCUAACUAAUACCUCGUCUUCAUCGUCAUCGGCAGGUUCUUCCACACAGACCACCAUUACAAAUCAAAACACAAUCCAGCUGCCAAAUGCAUCCACGGCAGCACCUGCUACAGAGGAUGCCCCUACUAAAAAGACGCCCACAGAGUCCCUCUCAUCAGGCCCAGUGAUCAGACAAACAUCUCAAGUAACUUUGGCAACCAAGUCUGUCGCAGAGGCCACCUCCCCUGAGAGCACCACUUUCUCCAUAGGAGUAACCAUGGAAGAGGUCCAGCGGGCUUUAAGUUCAGGAAGCAUUGCAGCCAUUACGGUGACAGUCAUUCUGGUGGUGCUGUUGGUGUUUGGGGUGGCAGCAUACCUUAAGAUCAGAGACUGUCCAGUUUGACCAAUGAACAUGGCGGAGGGGCAUUGCUGGCACAUGAUGGCAUAUAUCACAUUGGUGGAUGUGCAGGAGGAAAUGGACUUGCUAUGAGGCACAGCCUGAGCGCUACCCCCCAGGACUUGACCAUAGGAGUGCCAUCACCCAGGUAACGAUGCACGAGACAACACAUAGCAUUUGCCAACCAGCUUCAGUGUUACCCUUCUGCAGACAUGUGAGUGAGACCAGGACAAAGAUCAGCCUCUUAACAGCACUCUAUUACUGUGGACAUGAGCCCAGCCCAAUCGAACUCUGCCAACUCGUUAGUGAUUGCUCUAAGAAUUCUUAAAACAUCAGCUGUUCUAGAGUGGCUCGGGGGAUCCUUCCUUAGCUCAACUGCUACAAGAGUUCAUUCUGACUCCCAGCUGAGGAGGUAAAACAAAAGGUGCAAACUGCAAAGAGACAAUUUCAAGUGAGAUACAAACACAAAGGAGAUCUAUAUCCGUUAAUCACUGCGUAUAAGCGACCCACACAGCUACUUUCAGCCAGUGCAGGUAAUUUUUCAUUGCCUUGGUCCUCAAGAGGUUAGAAACCUAGAGCACAAUGUGAAGCGUGAGAGGGAAGAAGAGAUAAGCAGAUGGGAGAAGGGAAAGAUCCAAGUCAAAGAUUGCCUUGUCUACAGGAAAAUGAUUUGCCUGGUUUAGAUCAGCAGUGGAAGAGACCACAUGCAUCACAUGUCUGAAUUUAUUAUUUUGUUGAUGGGAAGGAUAGCUCAGUGGUUUGAGCAUUGGCCUGCUAAACCCAGGGUUGUGAGUUCAAUCCUUGAGGGGACCAUUUAGGGAUCUGGGGCAAAAAUUGGGGAUUGGUCCUGCUUUGAGCAGGGGGUUGGACUAGAUAAUCUCCUGAGGUCCCUUCCAACCCUGAUAUUCUAUGAUGAAUGAGUGUUUGAGAGACUGGCUUUGCGGCUAGGGAUUAUACUGGAUUUCCCAUCAACGUGUAAGGCAUUUGACCUAGAUAAGACCAUGCCAGCUUCCUUAAAAUAGUCUGGAUUUUCAAUAUCUUUGAGGAGGAGAGGGAGUCACAGGCCAGCAGGUUAUAUGGUAUAGCAAAGGCUGACUAUUUUUUAAAUUCAGUACAAAAAUCAAAACCCAGCAUAGAAAACUCAGGCUCUCAAGCACUCAUUCAUCAGCGAAAUAAAAAUAAAUGUAGACGCCCAGUAACUGUCAUCUGCUCCCUCACCUAAGCUAAAACCAGAGACACCUUACACACAAGCAAUCUUAAGCGGGACCUAUUGGAGUUGACACUUGGUAAGUCAUACUUGAUUGAACGGAGUUGUACGGCUCCAAAGCAGGCCUCUCGCACCUGAUUUGUCUGGAAUCCAUGGAGGCUGCAAGGUGGAGCAAGUGAAAUUCGUAACCCAUAAGAAUCCCAGAUAUGGCUGAGACACCCUGCUGUGUGUCAACAAGCCAUCGGAGGACAGAGUGACAUUUCAUGAUCUCAACUUAGGGAGAUAAGUCACGACAUCAGACAGGGCCACUCCAGCCUUCAGCCCUCUCUCCCUGUACCUGAAGGAGGCCCACUAGCAAGAAGUGCUGUGCCAGCAGAUCACCAUCGUCUGCCUCCUUGACUGCAGUCCCAGCUCCUACCCUACAAGAGUCCAAAUGCCAAGAGCUGGAGUCCAUGAAGCCCUCACCCCAAAUGUGUCUUCUUAUUCCUUUCUAGUUUUUGUUUUGUUUUUAUUAACAGGGAGAUGCUCCAGCCAUUUUAGUCUCUAAUUUUAGGGUGUGAAAGUGGGGCUGUGUGAGUCCUCAAAGCCCAUGCAGGGAAGGUACUUGAAAGAGUAGUUCUCUGGGUUUAAACAAGCCUUAAACAUAGCCUCAUAAAGACACUAAUUAAAGUCUUGAGACCUGAAAUUAUCAUCUCCCAUUUCCAAAAAGCAAGAGUUGUAAAACAUCUGCUUACCAACAAUGUUCUGUUAAAGUCUGUUAUAAAGCUCUCUGCUAGGGGCAGAAAACCACAUAAGAGAGGAAGCAUUAUAAUUGGCUCAGAGGUUGUGGUUCAGACAUGAAAAUAAUCAUUUGGUUUCAUUCUGAAGCUACUUAACCAAAUUCAAAUGAUAGAUCUGACGACGUUGGUAAAAUGUAUUAGUGGGGAUUUAUAACCGAACAGCCAGCCACUUUCUCAGAAAAAGGAUUAUGUUUGGUAUUAAUUUGAUGACUCGACUCCAAUUCAAUAUGGAGACUAGCUGGUUGAUUUGAUUUUGAGUCAACAGUGGUUAGUAUUAUGAGUUUAGUUCUAGCACCAUGUGUUCUCGAUUUCGUUUUAGUAGAGGAGGUUUAACAUUUAUCAAAUACAAAUUGACACAGCAUCACAGGUCUUUCACUAAGAACCAUGUGUCCAAUCCAGAGUCUUUGAUAGCCUGGGGUGGAUACCAGUCAGUCAACGUUAAUGCCUGAUCAGCUACUCCUAAUGAGUCUAUGGUUCUCACAUAAUUGCCACCCAAAGAGCACCCCUGAUGACAUACACAUCCUUGCUUUUGAAGGAGGAGUCAACUUAUCAGUAAGCCUUGUUGGAGCCUUGUUUCUGAACAGUCCUUCAUUUGGGCUCUGUUCUUUGAAUCAGAAGACUGCUACAGCAAGCAGAGCUAAGACAAGAAGACCCUUCUGUGCUUUUCCUGCUGACAGUGGGUGAGAAAUUGCUUUGGAUUUUUUCUAAAUUUCUUUAUUCAUUAUCUACAUUUUACUCACAUAUUAGAGCUGAAAGACAGGUCACCCAGUUUGACUGGCAGAUUAACUGGGAUUUAAAUAUUAGCAGCUUGCAGCUUUAUUUGUGCAAGAUGCUUCCUGAACUGAAAUGGACAAGCAUGUUCUGAAUUUCCAAGGUGUUUCACGCUUUCCCUGGUUUCUGCCUUUGCCUGCAAGGACAUUUCUAGCAGUUUUGGAUUACAAAGAAAGCCACAAGUUCCUUCAAGAGAAAAGACAACUGCCUUAAUCACUGACAAGAAGCCAUCCCGCAGAGAGCCUGCUAGAGUCUAUUCCAAGAAGUUCCCAGGUGACCUCUCCACAUAGAGGUAACACAACAUACAACACCACACAACAGAUUAACAACUUGAUUUUACACCAACUUUAUUCUACUCGUGAGUCAGUUCAGUCUUUACCAUCUGAUCAGGAGGUUAGUUCCUUUAUAUGGGCAGCUAACUGAGGAUGUAGAGGGGCACAAGGCAACAGAACUGGAGAGCUGGGACUGACAAGUUGCAGGAAUCUCACAUUCAGGAUGUGAAGGAAAGGGGAACAAGGGCCCCAAUGCAGACAGGAAUAAUGCCACAUGGUACAGAUCAGGCUCAGAAGCCACGAUGCAUCUCUGUGCUGGUACAGAGCAACAGGAAGCUGCUGGGGCCUCCAAGAACCAGUUCAAUUUGUGCCCUAAUUGCCAUGGCCCCAAAGGGUGUAGAAGUAGCUGGGGCAUAGAAAUGCCCCACCAAAGCUAUUUCCUGGCCCUGCCAUGCCCAUGCCAUUCCCAGCAUUCCGCAGUACAGGGAAUUUGUAGCAGAUCUCAGUGUAGUUCUUAGGGAUCCAUACCAAAAAACCCACUAAAUGCCCCCAGCACAUGUUGGAAGCAGAAAGGCCAAGAAGGGAUGAGGCCAGUUGCAGGAAGGGCAGCUAAAGCCACCAGCUACUUUGUCAGUAUGAGGGUCUUGCUCCUGAAGCAUCAUGUCAUCCAUAGCUGCUAAGCCACAGUUCCUGGCCCCUCACACUAUGCCAGUUGGGUCAGCUAGAGACCGAAGAGCUGCUGUCUGAGAUCAGAGAAGGACACGACUCUCCAUGGAUUCACUGGAACCAAUCAGCUGGUCACGGUCUCCAUUCUCAGCCCCUCACAUGUUGGGAGUCCUAGUUCAGCAAGGCAUUGUUGGUAUUUCUGGUCAUGGCGAUUCAGACUUAACUCCUUCAUGAAUCAAUAAUACAAAAUUCCCCCAUCCAUCACUUCACCACCA